UACGAAGGGGGCUAGCGUUGCUCGGAAUCACUGGGCGUAAAGCGCACGUAGGCGGAUUGUUAAGUCAGGGGGUGAAAGCCUGGAGCUCAACUCCAGAACUGCCCUUGAUACUGGCAAUCUCGAGUCCGGAAGAGGUAAGUGGAACUCCGAGUGUAGAGGUGAAAUUCGUAGAUAUUCGGAAGAACACCAGUGGCGAAGGCGGCUUACUGGUCCGGUACUGACGCUGAGGUGCGAAAGCGUGGGGAGCGAACAGG
rnacentral:rRNA from 1 species